CCUACGGGUGGCAGCAGUGGGGAAUAUUGGACAAUGGGGGGAACCCUGAUCCAGCGACGCCGCGUGAGUGAAGAAGUAUUUCGGUAUGUAAAGCUCUAUCAGCAGGGAAGAAAAUGACGGUACCUGACUAAGAAGCCCCGGCUAACUACGUGCCAGCAGCCGCGGUAAUACGUAGGGGGCAAGCGUUAUCCGGAUUUACUGGGUGUAAAGGGAGCGUAGACGGUGCAGCAAGUCUGAUGUGAAAGGUCGGGGCCCAACCCCGGGACUGCAUUGGAAACUGUUGAACUGGAGUACAGGAGAGGUAAGCGGAAUUCCUAGUGUAGCGGUGAAAUGCGUAGAUAUUAGGAGGAACACCAGUGGCGAAGGCGGGUUCCUGGACAUUAACUGACGCUGAGGCACGAAGGCCAGGGGAGCGAAAGGGAUUAGAUACCCGGUAGUC
rnacentral:rRNA from 1 species